GAAGCACUGAUCUAGAUAACAUUAUAAGUGGACCUAAGAGGACGGUCCAAAAUAAUAAAAAAAGACAGCUCCUUUAAGAGAGGAAAAAAUAUAUAAGAGUGACAUCGGGAAAUCUUCUCAAGACUCACAUCUGAACUGUCUGACCUAGGUUUGAACUCAACACAACAGAAAAGGCUUGUAUUCAGCUUUGAAAACAUGAGCUGAGACAGUUUACGAGUGCAGUACCAUUCAGAAAAGGACAGAGGAAAUGCUCUGAGGGAAAAAGAACGCUGCGCUCCACCCUCAGCUAUUCAUGUCCCCUUGUUUGGAUACUGUGAGGAGAUGUGAUGAAUUAUUCAUAAGCACAAAAACAAGCUGCUGUGGAGACUUAAUUAUUGAUUGAUCAUUGGACUUCAACAUUCUAUAUGCACUUAGAUUAAUAGAAGUCCUGCCAAGAGUAAUGUUAGAGACAUAGGUAGCAAAGGAAAUGUUUCAGAUGACCAUGUCUGAGAGCAGAAGGACUAAAUGUUUCAGCUGACCUUGUCUGACAGCAGAAAGAC
ensembl:lncRNA